CCUACGGGAGGCAGCAGUGAGGAAUAUUGGUCAAUGGCCGGAACGCUGAACCAGCCAUGCCGCGUGAAGGUCAGUGCCCUAUGGGCGUUAAACUUCUUUUGUGCGGGAGCAAUAAUGGUCACGUGUGGCCAGACGAGAGUACCGUACGAAUAAGCAUCGGCUAACUCAGUGCCAGCAGCCGCGGUAUUACGGAGGAUGCGAGCGUUAUCCGGAUUUAUUGGGUUUAAAGGGUGCGUAGGUGGUUAAUUAAGUCAGCGGGGAAAGUUUGUGGCUCAACCAUAAAAUUGCGGUUGAUACUGGUUGACUGGAGUAUAUUUGAGGUAGGCGGAAUGCGUGGUGUAGCGGUGGAAUGCAGAGAUAUCACGCAGAACUCCGAUGGCGAAGGCAGCUUACUAAACUAUAACUGACACUGAAGCACGAAAGCGUGGGGAUCAAACAGGAUUAGAUACCCUAGUAGUC
rnacentral:rRNA from 1 species